AGGACGAACGCUGGCGGCGUGCCUAAUACAUGCAAGUCGAACGCUUUUUCUUUCACCGGAGCUUGCUCCACCGAAAGAAAAAGAGUGGCGAACGGGUGAGUAACACGUGGGUAACCUGCCCAUCAGAAGGGGAUAACACUUGGAAACAGGUGCUAAUACCGUAUAACACUAUUUUCCGCAUGGAAGAAAGUUGAAAGGCGCUUUUGCGUCACUGAUGGAUGGACCCGCGGUGCAUUAGCUAGUUGGUGAGGUAACGGCUCACCAAGGCAACGAUGCAUAGCCGACCUGAGAGGGUGAUCGGCCACACUGGGACUGAGACACGGCCCAGACUCCUACGGGAGGCAGCAGUAGGGAAUCUUCGGCAAUGGACGAAAGUCUGACCGAGCAACGCCGCGUGAGUGAAGAAGGUUUUCGGAUCGUAAAACUCUGUUGUUAGAGAAGAACAAGGAUGAGAGUAAAAUGUUCAUCCCUUGACGGUAUCUAACCAGAAAGCCACGGCUAACUACGUGCCAGCAGCCGCGGUAAUACGUAGGUGGCAAGCGUUGUCCGGAUUUAUUGGGCGUAAAGCGAGCGCAGGCGGUUUCUUAAGUCUGAUGUGAAAGCCCCCGGCUCAACCGGGGAGGGUCAUUGGAAACUGGGAGACUUGAGUGCAGAAGGGGAGAGUGGAAUUCCAUGUGUAGCGGUGAAAUGCGUAGAUAUAUGGAGGAACACCAGUGGCGAAGGCGGCUCUCUGGUCUGUAACUGACGCUGAGGC
rnacentral:rRNA from 1 species